UACGGAGGGUGCAAACGCUAAUCGGAAUUACUGGGCGUAAAGCGCACGUAGGCGGUCCGUUAAGUGGGGUGUGAAAGCCCUGGGCUCAACCUGGGAAUUGCAUUCCAAACUGACGGGCUAGAGUGUGGUAGAGGGGGGUAGAAUUCCCUGUGUAGCGGUGAAAUGCGUAGAUAUAGGGAGGAAUACCUGUGGCGAAGGCGGCCCCCUGGACCAACACUGACGCUGAGGUGCGAAAGCGUGGGGAGCAAACAGG
rnacentral:rRNA from 1 species